GACCAAGGAGUCUAACACGUGCGCGAGUCGCAGGGUUGUACGAAACCCGAGGGCGUAACGAAAGUGAACGAGAUCUUCGGAUCUAUCAGGUGGGAUCCCGAAGCCUUCGGCAACGGGCGCACCACCGGCCUGUCUCGGCCGCCACGCCGGCGAGGCGGAGCAAGAGCGUACGCGUUGGGACCCGAAAGAUGGUGAACUAUGCCUGAGCAGGAUGAAGCCAGAAGAAAUUCUGGUGGAAGUCCGCAGCGAUUCUGACGUGCAAAUCGAUCGUCAAACUUGGGUAUAGGGGCGAAAGACUAAUCGAACCAUCUAGUAGCUG
rnacentral:rRNA from 1 species